rnacentral:misc_RNA from 1 species
UCUCCGUAGGUGAACCUGCGGAGGGAUCAUUACAGAGUUCUCGCCCUCGCGGGUAGAUCUCCCACCCACUGUUAUCGUUACUGUGUUGCUUUGGCGGGCCGCCGGGCCCCGCUCGGCCGCCGGCUCCGGCUGGCGCGCGCCCGCCAGAGGCCCAGCAAACUCUGAGUGUUAGUGUCGUCUGAGUACUAUAUAAUAGCUAAAACUUUCAACAACGGAUCUCUUGGUUCUG